CUGCAGGAAAGCGGUAGCUACACAGAGAUGUUAUUGGAAACCCAUGGCUUUUCUCGAAAACAGGUUUAACUGGUUUUCUGAUUAUGCUGACAUGGGGUCAGUGCCUCUAAACUUUAACAGAACUGUUGGAAUCCUACAUUAAUCAGUAACAGAAAGUACACAAAGUGUCUUGACAUUGGGGAGGUGAAUAAACCGUUCCCAAGGUUUCUCAACACAAAGGAAAUUCUCACUAAUUUGACAUGUUCUGGUUUUGAAUUCAGGCUGCAAGGGGUCAGUGCUCGAAAAUGAGUCUCUCUGGGGAGAGAGAGGAGGGGGGCCCUGCCUCUAAAAUGACUCUCUCGGGCGAACAUGACCCCGAAGCUAAGAGACCAAUCAAGCAGGAGAGACCAGCCUCCCCUGUACUCAGUUGUGUGUCCAUGAAGAGUGACCGGUCUAUGUAUCUUCCUAUAUACUUUAGAGAGGGAGACUUUUCUACUGAACAAA